GGUGCUGCAUGGUUGUCGUCAGCUCGUGCCGUGAGGUGUCGGGUUAAGUCCCAUAACGAGCGCAACCCUUACUGUUAGUUGCCAGCGGGUCAAGCCGGGAACUCUAACGGGACUGCCACCGUAAGGUGAGAGGAAGGUGGGGAUGACGUCAAAUCAGCACGGCCCUUAUGUCCAGGGCUACACACGUGUUACAAUGGUCGGUACAAAGGGCAGCUACACCGCGAGGUGAUGCUAAUCUCUAAAGCCGGUCUCAGUUCGGAUCGAAGUCUGCAACCCGACUUCGUGAAGUUGGAUUCGCUAGUAAUCGCGCAUCAGCCAUGGCGCGGUGAAUACGUUCCCGGGCCUU
rnacentral:rRNA from 1 species